rnacentral:misc_RNA from 1 species
UGUAGUUAAAUUAGGGAAAUGCUG